UCACGCCACUUGUAAAAUACUGCAACUUCCU
rnacentral:piRNA from 1 species